UAGACUGAAUCUUGAGUUUAUGGGUCAAAUUUUCCUCUUAAAUCUUGAGUAUUGGUUCAACUUCGCCGACUCAGACGGCGAUAGCCGCUUGACUGGCAAUGAUGCUAUGAAAAUUUUCGCCAUGUCCAAUUUGUCUAGGCCUGAACUCAAGCAGGUAUAUUCUGUUAUGUGUCUGGAUGGGGAAUUAUUGUACGCACAUAGUAGGUAGGUGAUGUGGAUGAAUAAUUUAAUAUCGAUUAUGGAAAGGACCUUCUCUCUCUCUCUCGGAGGAAAAAUGUUAAAUGUGCGAUUGGUCUACUGCUUAAGAAAUAUUAUUAGUAUAGUCGAUUUGGAGUUUUUUUUAAUUGUUUUGGUUAUUGGUUUAGUAAGUGAGUCGAAGUGCUAGAUUUAUGAAAUCUGAUGUACCUGUAUCUGCGUUUUAAUUUUAUGCACUCCAAAGUGGAAAUUGUCAAUGUCAAAGGCAGUUUUGAUAUAUUCAUCUACCAGCGGAAAACUCUAAUUGCCGUUAGGAGAUGAAAUUGAAUUACUAAGACAUUGAAGGAUUUUACCUUCGAAAUUUUUGUUAUCUCUCUUUUGCUGUUUACCUUUAUUGCAUUGAUCAUCGUCCUUACCAGGGUUUUAGAGCCAUAGCGAGCCAUAUUUCUUUUCAAUUGCUGGACUUAUGGAUUAUCCGUUCUCUAGUUUGUUUGACCAUUGUGAUUGCUACCACAGUUGGUAAUUUGCUCUUGAAACAUGUUUGUUAGCGUAUUUGAAGUGGCAGAGGAGUUUGAAUUGAACUCCAGAUAUGUUGAAUCCACAAUUUCUUAUGGUAAGUGACCUAUUAUUUUAUGUCUUUAUUUUUACCCUUGGCAUCAAUCUCCAGCUUUUUAGUUGUUUCUAUGGUUUUGGUUUGGGCUGUAUUAUCGGUUUUUAUGUCUGGUUGUAGUAUUGUCCAAAUCUGUUUUGAUUUAUAUUGAAUUAGUAAUGUCUUUAAGAUAAAUAUGCCUCUUUAACGCUGUUAUUCUACUCAUCCUUGUACUAAUGUCUUUGUAAUUUCAAAUAUAAGUUGUCUUGGGAACAUUGUUGGCUGCUUUGGUCCCUGUUCUGGGCUUUAAUCCGGUCAUGGCAUCCGAGCAUUUUGCUUCAUUUUUGGUUAGUUCCAACUGGCUGGUUUUUCUGCCAUUCUUGCUUUCUCAUUCGCUAUUACUGUAGUCAGGGAUUCGCUUUUACUUUUUUUAUGCUUCUCAAUCUUUUUAAAUUUAUGCCUUAUGUUGCUCUUAAUCUCUAAUUUUACUUUUCCAUUCUUGGGCAUGUACAGGUGUUUAUUAUUAUUCAUGUUGUAGCUCUUGUUUACUAUAUUAAAGGGAUUCUGUCACUAAGAAUGUUAAAAGUGGCUGUUACGCUUGUGUUUUCAGUUGGCCUGGUAAUUUGCUGUGCCAUGGUGACUGUACUUAUAGCAUUAGUAGCCUCCAGCCCAACUAAGGGUUGGAGUGGGCGUAGUCUAAGUCUGCUUGAUCCGCAUGCUUUUUGCCACUUUCUGAUGCAAGCUCCUUUAGCAUCCUUUACAUAGUUACAUUAGUAUAUUUUUCAGGUGUCAUGGUGCCACUAAUGCUUGUACUUGGUCCAGCAGUAUGCAAAAUGCCUGGAAUUUCUCUUUCAGGAGCUUUUGAUGUUCUUACUCAUUCGCUCAAAUUUCAGUUGCCUAGUACAUCAGAAAUUUUUACAUCUGAUUAGAGAAGGUUCAUUGUGUCUGGGCAGCAGCAGAAGCAUGUUCAAUACCCUUCAUAGUGCUAACAAGUCAAUCUCAUGAUGGCCUUCGCAUUUUUUAUGACUUCAAAGAGGCCUAUGCAUGGUUGAGCCAUAACACAGAUGUAGAUCAUAAAUCUAACUUCAUAUUUUGAUCGUGAGAAGACUGAUGCUCGUGCUGCAAGAGAUGCUCAAAAUCUGACCACAGCUGUGUAGUCUAUGCUUUAGUGGCAAAAUCUAGUAUUCUAUCUUUUGGGAAGGAUAUGUAUUGGCCAUUAGAACUUACAACUGAUUAUGUGGGAUUACUAUAUUCCCAACAUUUGUGGUUCACUUCUGUUUUGACUAAUUUGGAGAUGUGUUAUGGCCAAAUAUAUGAAUUUGUGGCAUAUAUUCUA